rnacentral:tRNA from 1 species
GAAAAAUUAGUUAAAUAAAUAAUAUUAAUUUGUCAAAUUAGAGUUACUUUCUGUAUUUUUCU